rnacentral:lncRNA from 1 species
AUCUAAGCAAUACAUAAAAUACACCCACUUUAUAUUAAAAAAUACAGAUCACACACACAUAGAUGAUAAAAGAUUUGCAAAAAUGUUGUAUAUGCAUAUAAAAAAUACAGGAGGGAAAAGGUCAAGCUGAUAAAAGUGGUUGCCUCUUUCAUAGAGGAGGAGGUGAGGGCAAGCAGAAGUUUUUGUGUUUCAUGCUAUAUAGUUUUGUACUGUUUGAUUCUUACAGUGAAAAUGUAUUCUAGUAUUACUUAUGUGCUGUGAUAGAAAUUUAAAAAUAAGAAAAGUAUAUGAAAGUAUGUAUAAAAGUCUUCUUGUCUAACAACUGCUGAAGGUUUUUAGUAAUUAAUGAAAUUGAGCAACGGGACUGGCUAGUUCUCAAUAUUCCAGCACCCCCAGCCUACAGACAUCCCCUGAGCCUUAAUGCUGGGUGUUGCUCAAGCCUGUAUGUUCUUCUCAGUUUCCCACCAGAAAGGCUCAUAAGCAAAAACGCCUCAUUCACUUUUUUCCAUACAAGUCCUGCAACUAAGUGAUACAAAAACUAACACAUUUUCACAAAUCUGUUGUCAUCUCUUCCCUGACCCUUAUCUUUUAUUUCACCUAAUCUAAUGUGGUAUGUUAAAAACAAAACAAAAAUGCAUAUAAAGGGAAUAAGAGUGAGGUCUGAUGAUGGAGAGGAAAUAAAAACAUCAGUUUCUGCUUUAGCUGUCGUGAAACCCCAGAAGGGCCAUUAGCAACAGUUUCUGUUUGCUAAGUGAAAAAGUACAUUUAACUCAAGAAUGAUACGUUCUCUCUCCUUUUCCACUCUUUAACGAAACUAGUUGGUUUGUGAAUGACAAGCAGUGUGAGUGAACCGUUAUGUAGGCAGUGCAGAUCCCAAGGAAAUUCACCAGAACUCGGACCACACCGCAUGGGCUGAAGCUCAUCCCUGUCCUGCUGCGCUGAGCCACACUGGAGCCGUCUCCACAGCCUCCGGUCCCCAGCCCCACCCCGAACCCUCAUCUCCCCCGGAAGCCGGGCGGGCACAUGACAUCUCACCACAGUAAUGCCAUCAUUGAGCAGGGCCUCCCCAAAGAUCAUCAUGUAGAGCUGCUCGUUCACGCGCGCUUCCUCAAACACGGCUAGCACGGCCACUGGGUCCACGGCGUUGAUCAGGGCCCCCAAUACUGCCCACCACAGGAUG